AUACUUCAUACCUUUGCUUUCUAGCCCCGGGUCUGUUAUCUGUUGUUUGAAAACCUGAAUGACACAGUAACUGACCUUGUGCAUGUAACUACUGUUUGCAUUACGCAAAAUGGAGAGGAGUUAUCUGUCCGUCCGAGGAGAAAAGAAAGCAGGAGUGGAGCAAGUGGAGCUGAUAAUGAUAAAUGAUGAUUGAUGAUAGUAAAUGGGACAUUGGGGAAGUUCCUAUCAUCAACAAAAAAAAAAAAGGGAACCAGCCCUCCCUCCAGGACCUGAUCCUGAUGAAUGUCCAUCAACUUCCACCUGUUAAGUAGUCAGAUAAGAAGAUUAUUAAAUUUGUUUUUUC